UGGGGAAUUUUGGGCAAUGGGCGAAAGCCUGACCCAGCAACGCCGCGUGAAGGAUGAAGUAUUUCGGUAUGUAAACUUCGUAAGAAUAGGAAGAAUAAAUGACGGUACUAUUUGUAAGGUCCGGCUAACUACGUGCCAGCAGCCGCGGUAAUACGUAGGGACCAAGCGUUGUUCGGAUUUACUGGGCGUAAAGGGCGCGUAGGCGGUGUGUCAAGUCAGUUGUGAAAUCUCCGAGCUUAACUCGGAACGGUCAACUGAUACUGUCACACUAGAGUACAGAAGGGGCAAUCGGAAUUCUUGGUGUAGCGGUGAAAUGCGUAGAUAUCAAGAGGAACACCUGAGGCGAAGGCGGGUUGCUGGGCUGAUACUGACGCUGAGGCGCGAAAGCUAGGGGUAGCAAACGGG
rnacentral:rRNA from 1 species